GGGGUCGUAGCUCAGUCGGUAGAGCACCACAAUGGCAUUGUGGGGGUCAGGGGUUCGAAUCCCCUCGGCUCCACCA
rnacentral:tRNA from 1 species